UCAGAAGGCAGGCUGGAGCUGGGAUCAUCUGAGGCUUCGGGGGUACCUGCGUGGGAAUGUCUGGUGAUUGGGUGAGCACCUCUCCCCAGAUGGGGCCUCUUCUUUCUCAGGGAAAAUGGGCCAGACAAGGGAAUACAAUGGGAGACUUACAUCCAGGCGGAAUGCAAGGAAUCCUGAAGAUGGGCACAGGCCGCCUAUGCUGAGUGCUUUGUAUAACAGAAGAUACAAGAGCAACGAGAGAGUGGACUGUGGCCACUUGGUGCAGGCAGGAUAAAUUGACCCUGAGACCUAGAGGGACCCCUGAAGUCAUGAAGUUUCUGUGAAAAAGGGCAGGACACGAGGUGAGCAGGAAAGCAUGAAGGAACCACCAGGAAGAGGUGGGAGUUCCACGUGAGCACACACUCAGCCCUAACAUGUCUUUCCAGUCAUCCGCACAUGUGGGAAAAACACUGGGAUGCUGUGAAUUUUCAAGGUCGCUCUGAGUAGGGGUGGAAAUAUGUGUC
rnacentral:lncRNA from 1 species